GUACAAAUAAUAUAUAGUGUAGAAAUGGUACCAUCAUUAUGGCAGUAUGCUAUUCCCAAGCAUAGACUCUCUCUCUCUCUUUCUUUUUCUCUCGCAGCUGGUGGAUCUGUUUGGAGGCAGACGGUUGCCAUGGUGCAGUUGCCAUGUGGCUGGUGUCUGACUCAGACAGGCCCACACACUGUCAGUAGGAGGACAAGAGAUUACAGCACUCAGUGAAAGGGCAUGAAUACUGACACCCACAAUGUUUUGAUGGGAACAGUAAAUCCCUCAGCGGUGCCUCACCCGAGAAUCAAACAGGCAAGAUGCCAGUUCCCAACAGCGGGCACAUGGGAACACAUCUGAAGCUUGAAUUGCUGACAGCCGACCACACCUUCAUUUGUGAAGGACAUUGUCCUUCAAGAGCCAUUAGCCUCGAGGAGGAGAAAGACAAUGGCUGUGACAGCGCACUGCUGGGAUCCAAGAAUUCAAUAGUAUUCUAAUAUGAGUUGAAUGUGAUUGUACAGUGUAGUGUGACAGAUAGAGUCAUGAAAAGGUAAACGAAGCUGAGCUAUGCUGUCUCCAGUCAUCAGACUGUCAGCGGAGCUGAAGAGAAGCGCAUAACUGCUAUUAAAUCACUUUCUGUCAUGCUGUGUGUGUGUGGAGACAGCAAGAUAGAGUCUCUAUUUCCAGGUGUGACAGACAUGAAGGUACACUAGCAGCUAAUGUGCAUGUGCGUGUGAAUGAGCAUAUAAGGUGACUAGCCAUUCUGAUAUAAUCAGGACAGUCCUGAGUUGCCAUUCCUGAUAAUUAGUCUUAACUUUAUUUUGAUUGCUGUGAAUAAAUGUAUUAAACUGAUGUCA
ensembl:lncRNA